UACAUGGGGUGCAAACGUUGCUCGGAAUCAUUGGGCGUAAAGCGCGCGUAGGCGGUUACUUAAGUCGGAUGUGAAAGCCCUCGGCUUAACUGAGGAAGUGCACCCGAAACUGAGUAGCUAGAGUACGAAAGAGGGUCGCGGAAUUCCCGGUGUAGGAGUGAAAUUCGUAGAUAUCGGGAGGAACACCGGUGGCGAAGGCGGCGACCUGGGUCGAGACUGACGCUGAGGCGCGAAGCGUGGGAGCAAA
rnacentral:rRNA from 1 species